CCUACGGGAGGCAGCAGUGGGGAAUAUUGCACAAUGGGGGAAACCCUGAUGCAGCGACGCCGCGUGAGUGAAGAAGUAAUUCGUUAUGUAAAGCUCUAUCAGCAGGGAAGAAAAUGACGGUACCUGAGUCAGAAGCCCCGGCUAACUACGUGCCAGCAGCCGCGGUAAUACGUAGGGGGCAAGCGUUAAUCGGAAUUACUGGGCGUAAAGCGCUCGUAGGCGGUAUGUCAAGUCAAGGGUGAAAUCCCCGCGCUCAACGUGGGAACUGCCUUUGAAACUGGCAAACUGGAGUGUGUGAGAGGAUAGUAGAAUUCCAGGUGUAGGAGUGAAAUCCGUAGAUAUCUGGAGGAACAUCAGUGGCGAAGGCGACUAUCUGGCACAUAACUGACGCUGAGGAGCGAAAGCGUGGGUAGCAAACAGGAUUAGAUACCCCUGUAGUC
rnacentral:rRNA from 1 species